UGUGUUCAGGCUGGUCCACGCUGGGUCACCCAUGUGACCUGCUGCUUAGCAAUUCUUUGUCACCAUCUUCCCUUCUCAGCCUCUUUUUCCAUGCUAAGAGGCAUAAAUGAAAUGAUAAAAGUUUGAGCUCUUCUCAUGGAAUUCUUGUGAUACAGAUAUGUGCUACAUGUUCACUAUCUCAUUGGUCUUCACCAUGAUAACUGUGGAGUAAGAAUUAUCAGCAGUUCGCAGAUUAUGGACUUGAGACUGACAGUUUGGCUUCCCUGUUCCAGGUGGCAAAGCCUGUGGGGUAUUCACCUACCUGCUGCAUGAAGGCAGCAUGGAGGGACUGUGGUGGAUUAUCUGCAAAGAUGGCCCAAAUUCUCUCAUCCCUGCAGGUACAUACAAGAGGAGAACUGAAGCUCAGCUAUUCACCCUACAGAAAGCCUGAAUUUUGUAAAUGUUCUGCUUAGAAUGAGGAAGAAAGAUGAAGAAUGAGGAGGAAGAAGGGAGGAACAAGAGAGAGAGGUAAAGCCAACAAGCAGAACAGACCUACAUUUGCAGCAUCUCCAAGUUUCUGCAACAGCUUUAUGUUGUUGUUAUGUUUUGUUUUAAUAAAAGCACAUACCAUUUU